ACCGUCUGGUGAUGGAGAUGAUGG
rnacentral:siRNA from 1 species